CUGCAAACAAAUCCUAACAGCAUCUUCAUGGAAAGUGAAAAUAGAAACAAAUAAAGAAAGGAUUGCUUUAUGCAACCCAGAAAAGCCAUUCUUUUCUUUCUGCAUUCGCACAUGUUUAUAAAUGACCUCCAAUUUGGUUUCUUCUUCCCAAGAUACAAUCUUUUUCCAAAACAAGCAUAAACCCAUAAACCAAAAACAAUUAAAAAGAAAAAAGAAAAGAAACCCAUUUGGUUUCAAGAUCCCACCAGGAAAAAUCAUGUCUUUGAGCCCACCAAGAACAAGAAUUCAUGAAACAACAAGAACCUACCAGCCCUACUGGUGCUACCAAUGUCACAGAAUGGUAAGAAUUGUUGCCUCAAACCCAUCAGAAAUAAUUUGUCCUAGAUGUUCAGGGCAGUUCCUUUGUGAAAUUGAAAUGAACAGACCAAGACUGGUUGUUGAUUUCACUGCUUUUGAUCCUUCCCCAGAAGCUCGCUUACUUGAAGCUCUAUCUCUCAUGCCUGACCCACCAGUAAUUAGAAGACCAAGUUCACGUCUUCUUGAUAAUCUUGAACCAGAAUCUCGUGGCAGGUCUUGGUUACGAAGAAGAAAUAGAUUGAACUCUGAUGAUGAAGUACGUCCACGUAGAGGUCAAGAGGAACCUGGAAUCCAAUCUAGACCAAGAACGUGGAUUGUUCUUAGACCAAUUGAUCCUUUCACUCCUAUUGAAUCCAAUAACCCAAUUCCUCCAAGAGUUAAUCCAAGAGACUACUUUUUUGGUCCAGGACUAAAUGAAUUGAUUGAAGAAUUGACCCAAAAUGACCGGCCAGUGCCGCCUCCAGCGCCUGAGGCAGUUAUAGGGAAAAUACCAACAGUGAAAAUUAUGGAAAGUCAUUUGCUCCAUGACUCAACUUGUCCAGUAUGCAAAGAAGAGUUCAAGAUCGGAGGGGAGGCAAAGGAAUUGCCUUGUAAACAUAUAUACCAUGCUGAGUGUAUUGAGCCUUGGUUAAGGUUGCAUAACUCUUGCCCUGUUUGCAGAAAAGAGUUACCAGCUGUUACUGAAAAUAGCAGUCGUGAAGGUUGUGAUGGUCAUGUUAGCGAGGAUGGAGAUGGUAGGGACGGAAGGUGCCUGAGGUUGAGGAGGCAAUUGGCUAAUUUAUGGCCGUUUCGUCCAAGAUAUGGGAGAAUUAGUCCUCAUGGAGAAGCUCACGAAGGAAUCUAAGGGUUUAAACUAGUUAUGGAAGGGAACUGUGGAAAAGAUAUCAUGUAUAGCUGAUGCAUUACUGGACUGAGAUGGCUUCGUAGGUUACAACAGUAUUUUAUGCAUUGAAUAAUUGUGCAUCAGAGAAAUUACCUCAACAAAGUGAUUUCUUGAUUCUUAGUCAUAGUGCUGUCAUCUCUAUGUACUAUACAAAACUACUCUUUUACCAUAAAGAUAUUGAUGAAAAUAGUGUUCAAAUAUUGCAAUUAUUUAAUCAAACACAACUGUUUAUUGCAUAACACCAGAUAUAUUCAAUUGUACCAUCACGUUCACAAGUUUCCACCAAAUGGAUUUGGUAAUCUUUCUAUUUUAAUUUUUUUUAUAACACAAAAGUCCACUCUCUUUCCUAAUAAUUUGACAGGUUCUAUUGCCACAAAUGUUGAACAAGGUUGAGCCUAGACAAUUGUAUCAAACCAUCAACAAGAUUAAACAAAA